GGGUUGUGAGGUUAAGCGACUAAGCGUACACGGUGGAUGCCCUGGCAGUCAGAGGCGAUGAAGGACGUGCUAAUCUGCGAUAAGCGUCGGUGAGGUGAUAUGAACCGUUAUAACCGGCGAUUUCCGAAUGGGGAAACCCAGUGUGAUUCGUCACACUAUCAUUAACUGAAUCCAUAGGUUAAUGAGGCGAACCGGGGGAACUGAAACAUCUAAGUACCCCGAGGAAAAGAAAUCAACCGAGAUUCCCCCAGUAGCGGCGAGCGAACGGGGAGCAGCCCAGAGCCUGAAUCAGUGUGUGUGUUAGUGGAAGCGUCUGGAAAGGCGCGCGAUACAGGGUGACAGCCCCGUACACAAAAAUGCACAUACUGUGAGCUCGAUGAGUAGGGCGGGACACGUGGUAUCCUGUCUGAAUAUGGGGGGACCAUCCUCCAAGGCUAAAUACUCCUGACUGACCGAUAGUGAACCAGUACCGUGAGGGAAAGGCGAAAAGAACCCCGGCGAGGGGAGUGAAAAAGAACCUGAAACCGUGUACGUACAAGCAGUGGGAGCACGCUUCGGCGUGUGACUGCGUACCUUUUGUAUAAUGGGUCAGCGACUUAUAUUCUGUAGCAAGGUUAACCGAAUAGGGGAGCCGAAGGGAAACCGAGUCUUAACUGGGCGUUAAGUUGCAGGGUAUAGACCCGAAACCCGGUGAUCUAGCCAUGGGCAGGUUGAAGGUUGGGUAACACUAACUGGAGGACCGAACCGACUAAUGUUGAAAAAUUAGCGGAUGACUUGUGGCUGGGGGUGAAAGGCCAAUCAAACCGGGAGAUAGCUGGUUCUCCCCGAAAGCUAUUUAGGUAGCGCCUCGUGAAUUCAUCUCCGGGGGUAGAGCACUGUUUCGGCAAGGGGGUCAUCCCGACUUACCAACCCGAUGCAAACUGCGAAUACCGGAGAAUGUUAUCACGGGAGACACACGGCGGGUGCUAACGUCCGUCGUGAAGAGGGAAACAACCCAGACCGCCAGCUAAGGUCCCAAAGUCAUGGUUAAGUGGGAAACGAUGUGGGAAGGCCCAGACAGCCAGGAUGUUGGCUUAGAAGCAGCCAUCAUUUAAAGAAAGCGUAAUAGCUCACUGGUCGAGUCGGCCUGCGCGGAAGAUGUAACGGGGCUAAACCAUGCACCGAAGCUGCGGCAGCGACACUAUGUGUUGUUGGGUAGGGGAGCGUUCUGUAAGCCUGUGAAGGUGUACUGUGAGGUAUGCUGGAGGUAUCAGAAGUGCGAAUGCUGACAUAAGUAACGAUAAAGCGGGUGAAAAGCCCGCUCGCCGGAAGACCAAGGGUUCCUGUCCAACGUUAAUCGGGGCAGGGUGAGUCGACCCCUAAGGCGAGGCCGAAAGGCGUAGUCGAUGGGAAACAGGUUAAUAUUCCUGUACUUGGUGUUACUGCGAAGGGGGGACGGAGAAGGCUAUGUUGGCCGGGCGACGGUUGUCCCGGUUUAAGCGUGUAGGCUGGUUUUCCAGGCAAAUCCGGAAAAUCAAGGCUGAGGCGUGAUGACGAGGCACUACGGUGCUGAAGCAACAAAUGCCCUGCUUCCAGGAAAAGCCUCUAAGCAUCAGGUAACAUUAAAUCGUACCCCAAACCGACACAGGUGGUCAGGUAGAGAAUACCAAGGCGCUUGAGAGAACUCGGGUGAAGGAACUAGGCAAAAUGGUGCCGUAACUUCGGGAGAAGGCACGCUGAUACGUAGGUGAAGUCCCUCGCGGAUGGAGCUGAAAUCAGUCGAAGAUACCAGCUGGCUGCAACUGUUUAUUAAAAACACAGCACUGUGCAAACACGAAAGUGGACGUAUACGGUGUGACGCCUGCCCGGUGCCGGAAGGUUAAUUGAUGGGGUCAGCGCAAGCGAAGCUCUUGAUCGAAGCCCCGGUAAACGGCGGCCGUAACUAUAACGGUCCUAAGGUAGCGAAAUUCCUUGUCGGGUAAGUUCCGACCUGCACGAAUGGCGUAAUGAUGGCCAGGCUGUCUCCACCCGAGACUCAGUGAAAUUGAACUCGCUGUGAAGAUGCAGUGUACCCGCGGCAAGACGGAAAGACCCCGUGAACCUUUACUAUAGCUUGACACUGAACAUUGAGCCUUGAUGUGUAGGAUAGGUGGGAGGCUUUGAAGUGUGGACGCCAGUCUGCAUGGAGCCGACCUUGAAAUACCACCCUUUAAUGUUUGAUGUUCUAACGUAGACCCGUGAUCCGGGUUGCGGACAGUGUCUGGUGGGUAGUUUGACUGGGGCGGUCUCCUCCUAAAGAGUAACGGAGGAGCACGAAGGUUGGCUAAUCCUGGUCGGACAUCAGGAGGUUAGUGCAAUGGCAUAAGCCAGCUUGACUGCGAGCGUGACGGCGCGAGCAGGUGCGAAAGCAGGUCAUAGUGAUCCGGUGGUUCUGAAUGGAAGGGCCAUCGCUCAACGGAUAAAAGGUACUCCGGGGAUAACAGGCUGAUACCGCCCAAGAGUUCAUAUCGACGGCGGUGUUUGGCACCUCGAUGUCGGCUCAUCACAUCCUGGGGCUGAAGUAGGUCCCAAGGGUAUGGCUGUUCGCCAUUUAAAGUGGUACGCGAGCUGGGUUUAGAACGUCGUGAGACAGUUCGGUCCCUAUCUGCCGUGGGCGCUGGAGAACUGAGGGGGGCUGCUCCUAGUACGAGAGGACCGGAGUGGACGCAUCACUGGUGUUCGGGUUGUCAUGCCAAUGGCACUGCCCGGUAGCUAAAUGCGGAAGAGAUAAGUGCUGAAAGCAUCUAAGCACGAAACUUGCCCCGAGAUGAGUUCUCCCUGACCCUUUAAGGGUCCUGAAGGAACGUUGAAGACGACGACGUUGAUAGGCCGGGUGUGUAAGCGCAGCGAUGCGUUGAGCUAACCGGUACUAAUGAACCGUGAGGCUUAACCUUACAACGCCGAAGGUGUUU
rnacentral:rRNA from 1 species